rnacentral:rRNA from 1 species
GCUUGUCUCAAAGAUUAAGCCAUGCAUGUCUAAGUAUAAAUGCUAUACAAUGAAACUGCGAAUGGCUCAUUAAAACAGUUAUAGUUUAUUUGGUAAUACACUUACAUGGAUAACCGUAGUAAUUCUAGAGCUAAUACAUGCACAAAAUCCCGACUUACGAAGGGAUGUAUUUAUUAGAUACAAACCAACAUCGUGGUGAUUCAUAAUAACUUUGCGAAUCGUAUGCCUCACGGCGACGAUGAAUCAUUCAAAUUUCUGCCCUAUCAACUUGGCUACCACAUCCAAGGAAGGCAGCAGG